rnacentral:lncRNA from 1 species
CUCCGGCCCCUCCGGCGCUGACCCGGCGGCUGGGAUGCCGCAGGGCCGCGCAGCUUAGGCCCGGUCCACUGACGAGCCCAGCUCUGCUCGAGAGACUGGCUCAGACUCGAGUUCGGGCAGGGAUGUGACUGAGGCAGUGGCGGACCAAGAAACGAGUGCCCAGGAGUGGUCCCAGGCGUGGCUUCCUGCAGCUUCCUUGCGAGUCGAGUCAACGCUUAGGCUUGUUUGACCAAAGAAGGGAAAUGGGCAAUAGGGACUCUGUGUACUAUGCUUAUUUCCUGAAAAGAUUGUUACUUGAAUAGUUGCAGACUGAAAGAAAACAGAUUUCGGUUAAAAAAAAGGAAGAUAUUCCCAGAGGAAGAUUAGCCCUGAGCUAACAUCUGCUGCCAACCCUCUUUUUUUUGCUGAGGAAGACUGGCCUUGAGCUAACAUCCAUGCCCAUCUUCUUCUGCUUUAUAUGUGGGACGCCUGCCACAGGAUGACUUGACAAGUGGUGCAUAGGUCCGCACCUGGGAUCCAAACCUGCAAACCCCGGGCUGCUGAAGCGGAACGUGCAAACUUAACUGCUGUGCCACCGGGCCAGUCCCUGUAUGUCUGGGUCAUUUUGGACUAGAGAGAGACAGACGGGGCCAAUUACUUGGCGUGUGGAUAAAAGUGGUCGGAUGAUUCAGGCUCCAGAUGGCCAUUCAGCAAGCUGAAUAGAGAGACUGAACGACCAAUCUUGUGUUCAAAUGAGGACAAGGAAGGUAAAGGUGACCGUUGAUGAGGUAACAAGGGGAGUGGGGUGUCACAGAAAGCCCCUAGAUGGGCGUCUCGGGGAGGCUGGAGUUGCUGCAGGAUCAUUUCUGAGCCUCCACAAGCACAGACAAGUUCAAAGUGUUGACUCCUGAGGAGUCCUUGCAUCAUUCUCCAGGCCAAAGGGAAUCCAAGCAGACCACUGAAACAUACACGGUGUUUACUUCAUCCGCUUUGGCUGUCACAGUUUUUUGGCUGAAAUAGUAAUCACCCGAGAGCUGCUCUCCACAGCUUCCAGAAGAUCUGUUCAAACAUUGACUCGCUUACCAAACGUUUAUUGUAUCACUUGUUUUUUACAAG